UCUGAGACUGACAGCUGUCUGUUUUGUGUAUGAAGAGCAUUUACAUACAGAGACACUUUGCAUGAGAGUGUUUAUAGAGCUGUGAGUUUAACACUUCAUGACUGAGAGCAGAACAGAACACAAUCUUCAUCAUCACACAAGACACAACAACAACAAUGAACAACAUCAUCAUCCUCAUCUGGACCAUUGCAGCUUUUAUUCAUGGAUCCAGUGGACUCACUGUGACUCAGCCUAAAAUUAAAACGGUCCAACAAAGUCAAAGAGUUACAAUAGAGUGCAGUACAGAUGUGGGGAUAUACUAUGACAACUUAGCCUGGUAUCAGCAGAAACCUGGAGAAACUCCUAAACUCCUCAUUUAUGAUAUGAGCAGCCUUUAUACAGGAACUCCAUCUAGAUUCAGUGGCAGUGGAUCUAGCGGAGGAAAAGAUUUCACUCUGACCAUCAGUGGAGUCCAGACUGAAGAUACAGGAGAUUAUUAC